ACUCACUCGAAACAUGUCGUAUCUCCAACCAAGUCCAAUGGGACUGCAGUAAGCUGUCCCUUUUCCCGCUUGCGAGCUCUGCUUCCGCUACAACCUUUCUUGCGUUUCCUCUGUGGAGCUUUGAACAAACAGCGAUUCUCUUCCAUCCGUCGCAGCUCAGAAGUCAGACCUGACCUUUGGACCCUCCAAGGACUGCUCUCCUGAAGUUUUAAGUCGACGAAAGCUAACCUGGGAUUCGUGAAACUUGAAGAGAAGUCAUGAAAUCUUCAGAGAUGCCAUUGAAGCACAGCAGCAACAGCACAAAGGGACAAAGCGAACCAAAGAGACAGAAUCUCCAGAAGCCUCCUUUUCGACCGGUUAAGGACGACACAAAACCCAUCCUCCAGGACCCGAUAUUAAGAUCAGACCCGAUCGAGACAGAGGAAGCAGUGCUACGAUUGCCCCCAUUUGACACGGCCCAACGAGCCUGCAAUUCAAUUCAAGAUUAAACUGAAUCUGUGAAUUAUAUACUCGUUUUGAUGUCCACGGAACUCAGCUUGUCUGAAUGGCAGAAGCCUUUCUCCAGAUAAUUGCAAUUAAGUUGUUCAACUGCAUUAGACGUUAUCUCCACAUGCCAUUCUGAUCUGCUUGCAGUUCCUUUUAUAAAUUCACUGCUUGUAAUUGUGAUGCACAUUCUCAAGUUGAAAUAUCAU